rnacentral:rRNA from 1 species
AGCUAUACAUGCAGUCGAGCGAAUGACGAGGAGCUUGCUCCUCUGAUUUAGCGGCGGACGGGUGAGUAACACGUGGGUAAUCUGCCUGUAAGACGGGGAUAACUCCGGGAAACCGGGGCUAAUACCGGAUAAUAAGAAGAAACGCAUGUUUCUUUUUUGAAAGUCGGUUUCGGCUGACACUUACAGAUGAGCCCGCGGCGCAUUAGCUAGUUGGUGAGGUAACGGCUCACCAAGGCGACGAUGCGUAGCCGACCUGAGAGGGUGAUCGGCCACACUGGGACUGAGACACGGCCCAGACUCCUACGGGAGGCAGCAGUAGGGAAUCUUCGGCAAUGGGCGAAAGCCUGACCGAGCAACGCCGCGUGAGCGAUGAAGGCCUUCGGGUCGUAAAGCUCUGUUGUUAGAGAAGAACAAGUACGAGAGUAACUGCUCGUACCUUGACGGUACCUAACCAGAAAGCCACGGCUAACUACGUGCCAGCAGCCGCGGUAAUACGUAGGUGGCAAGCGUUAUCCGGAAUUAUUGGGCGUAAAGCGCGCGCAGGCGGUCUCUUAAGUCUGAUGUGAAAGCCCACGGCUCAACCGUGGAGGGUCAUUGGAAACUGGGAGACUUGAGUGCAGGAGAGAAAAGUGG